GUGUGGCGCUUGUGUGAAACUGUCUCUGCUGCACUUGUAGGCUUGCUGUCAUGUGUCGAAUGAUCUAAUUGUUGGUUUUGAGGUGAAUGUUUAUUUGUCGUAAAUGAUUCUUGCUUCUUCCCUUUCUCAGGUUCUACUUUGUCCACAUUCGUUUCCUGCUGAAGCAGAUUCUUUUGUUUAUUUUCCGUAAAUGAUUCUUGCUUCUUCCCUUUCUCUGAUUCAGCUUUGUCCACAUUCGUUUCCUGCUGAACCGGAUUCUUAUGUUUAUUUGCUGUAGAUGAUUCUUGCUUCUUCCCUUUCUCAGAUUCCGCUUUGUCCACAUCCAUUUCCUGCUGAACCGGAUUCCUAUGUCUAUUUGCCAUAGAUGAUUCUUGCUUCUUCCCUUUCUCACCUUCCGC
rnacentral:lncRNA from 1 species